rnacentral:rRNA from 1 species
AACGAACGUUAGCGGCGCGCCUAACACAUGCAAGUCGAGCGAGAAAGGGCUUCGGCCCCGGUAAAGCGGCGCACGGGUGAGUAACACGUGGAUAACCCUACCCCCUUGGUGGUGGAUAACCUUCCGAAAGGAGGGCUAAUACAGCGUAAGACCACGACUUCGAAAGAGGUUGAGGUAAAAGUGGGCCUCUGUACACAAGCUCACGCCAGGGGAUGGGUCCGCGGCCCAUCAGCUAGUUGGUAGGGUAACGGCCUACCAAGGCGAAGACGGGUAGCUGGUCUGAGAGGAUGAUCAGCCACACUGGAACUGAGACACGGUCCAGACUCCUACGGGAGGCAGCAGUGGGAAUCUUGCGCAAUGGACGAAAGUCUGACGCA